rnacentral:rRNA from 1 species
GCUUGUCUCAAAGAUUAAGCCAUGCAUGUCUAAGUAUAAACGACUUUAUACUGUGAAACUGCGAAUGGCUCAUUAUAUCAGUUAAACUGCGAAUGGUCCUUACUACUUGGAUAACCGUAGUAAUUCUAGAGCUAAUACAUGCAUCAAACCCCGACUUCUGGAAGGGGUGUAUUUAUUAGAUGGAAACCAAUGCGGGGCAACCCUGAAUAUGGUGAUUCAUAAUAACUUUCGGAUCGAUUUAUCGAUGCAUCAUUCAAGUUUCUGCCCUAUCAGCUUUGGAUGGUAGGGUAUUGGCCUACCAUGGCUUUAACGGGUAACGGAGAAUUAGGGUUCGAUUCCGGAGAGGGAGCCUGAGAAAUGGCUACCACAUCCAAGGAAGGCAGCAGG